rnacentral:lncRNA from 1 species
UGUAUGGAAAUCCAGCUGAGCAAUGGCGGUCACUUUCACAAAGGUGCUGUCAGUGAGAGUGAAGAUGAACAGGGCAGUUCUAGAACUGCUUUGUGUCAUAAUAGGUAGGAUCUGGUGAGUGUUUGCACCUGACGGUGACAGAGAAGGAAGGAUACAUCAUUGUGGAUACCCUCUUGCUAACAGAUGAAUUCAGGUCCAUUCACACUCAUCCCUUUAAUGAGUGAAGAACGUGGAUGGGCAUGUGGAUGGGCACAAUAUUGGAGGAGGAGCUUUGGGAGGAAAAAAUGUGUUCAGUUCUGGAUAUCUGACUGCGAGGCACCAGUGGGACCACAUAGUAGGUAGCAAGAUAUGUUAAUAUGCAGCUCAGUUGGGAGAUCUGAGCUGAAGAUUGUAUCCAGGGAGACUGAGCGGUAAUGAUAAUCGAAAACACAGGACCAGGUAAAAAUGAACCAUGAAAAGAGCACAAGGGAUAAAAUAUCAAAGAGGAGAAUCACAGACUCCUGUGGCGAAAUACUGACUUCUCAUCUCUUGGUCUUGGAGCCUCCUGAAGAGACUGCAUUUUCUCCCACCUGCCAACAACCUCCCAAUGGCUUUGGAUUUCAUGACUCAUUCAUAUAAAUUUAUCUUUUUCUUUUUGUAGCUUGAUUAGGGUCCUUUAUGAUCAAUUUAUUUUUCUUUUCUAAAAUGUGAUCAUUUUGGGGGCACCUGGGUGGCUCAGUCUCGUGCAGCUGAGACUCUGAAGAGAGUCGCUGAAAGCGUCUGCCUUCAGCUUAGGUCAUGAUAAAGAGCCCUGGGAUUGAGUCCCAUAUCGGGUUCCCUGCUCAGCAGGGAGUCUGCUUCUCCCUCUCCCUUGUUGCUCCCCCUGUUUGUGCUCUCUUUCUGUCAAAAAAAUAAAUUCUUUAAAAAAUAUGUGAUCUUUUUGAGG